GGAAGAGAUACCUCAGCAUGGGCCCGCAGAGGACACUACGCCUUGGCUUUUUGUGGGGCCAUGGCACCGGGUGUAGUCUAGACCUGCUCUGAGAGACUGGAGGAGGCUGCUGAUGUUGUAGAUGACACAAGACGCAGCUGCUGAGCAACCCUUCUGUGCUUAGCAGAGAAAACUCCCAGGCGGCUGAGGCAUCCGUCUUCGUGACUCACUGCAGACGCUGCCUCUUUUGGAAGGAAACGAGGAACAAUUUCUCUGAACUCCAGUAAAAGUUUUCAGACCUUUGAAAUUGUAUUGGUGACCUAUUAUUUUAUGGCUUUGCAUGGCUUUCUUGAUUGGCAACUUGAGCCCGAUUUAAGAAGAGGAUCCAGCCACCACUGCUAAUUAGCAGGAAAGGUGGAAGCUGGAGCUGCUGACAUCUGAAGGCAGCAGUGUGGUUAGGCAACCUUUCUGAAGUGGCUGCUCCCAUGGCGGAGCACAAGAGGCUGCAGUUCCAAGAUGGCUCUUAGCGGAAAGUCAUCGUCUCCUACAGUGGGAGUCACUUCCCGAGGCUGCUUCAGUUCCCAGGUUACAAGGCCAAGGCAGAGAAAAUCUCCCACAUAUAAUAAA